CCUACGGGUGGCAGCAGUGGGGAAUAUUGGACAAUGGGGGGAACCCUGAUCCAGCCAUGCCGCGUGUGUGAAGAAGGCCCUCGGGUUGUAAAGCACUUUCAGUGAGGAAGAACGCCUGGUGGUUAAUACCCAUCAGGAAAGACAUCACUCACAGAAGAAGCACCGGCUAACUCCGUGCCAGCAGCCGCGGUAAUACGGAGGGUGCGAGCGUUAAUCGGAAUUACUGGGCGUAAAGCGCGCGUAGGUGGCUUGAUAAGCCGGUUGUGAAAGCCCCGGGCUCAACCUGGGAACGGCAUCCGGAACUGUCAAGCUAGAGUGCAGGAGAGGAAGGUAGAAUUCCCGGUGUAGCGGUGAAAUGCGUAGAGAUCGGGAGGAAUACCAGUGGCGAAGGCGGCCUUCUGGACUGACACUGACACUGAGGUGCGAAAGCGUGGGUAGCAAACAGGAUUGGAUACCCUAGUAGUC
rnacentral:rRNA from 1 species